AGUGAACGCUGGCGGUAGGCCUAACACAUGCAAGUCGAACGGCAGCACAGUAAGAGCUUGCUCUUACGGGUGGCGAGUGGCGGACGGGUGAGGAAUACAUCGGAAUCUACUUUUUCGUGGGGGAUAACGUAGGGAAACUUACGCUAAUACCGCAUACGACCUACGGGUGAAAGCAGGGGAUCUUCGGACCUUGCGCGAUUGAAUGAGCCGAUGUCGGAUUAGCUAGUUGGCGGGGUAAAGGCCCACCAAGGCGACGAUCCGUAGCUGGUCUGAGAGGAUGAUCGGCCACACUGGAACUGAGACACGGUCCAGACUCCUACGGGAGGCAGCAGUGGGGAAUAUUGGACAAUGGGCGCAAGCCUGAUCCAGCCAUACCGCGUGAGUGAAGAAGGCCUUCGGGUUGUAAAGCCCUUUUGUUGGGAAAGAAAAGCAGCAGGUGAAUACCCCGCUGUUCUGACGGUACCCAAAGAAUAAGCACCGGCUAACUUCGUG
rnacentral:rRNA from 1 species